AUGAUGUCGAUCACCUCCACCGCCGCCGCCGCCGCCGGCAGCCCGGUCUACACGCCGCUCGUCUCCAGGGGCGGGCGGCGCAGCAGGUGCGCCGUCCGAGCCCAAGCGGCCGGAGAGGGGACAGCCGCCGCCGACGGGGCGGCGUCGGAGCACAAGUCGCUGGAGAUAAUGCGCAAGUUCUCGGAGCAGUACGCCCGCCGCUCCAGCACCUUCUUCUGCUCCGACAAGUCCGUCACCGCCGUCGUCAUCAAGGGGCUUGCUGACCACAAGGAUCAACUCGGAGCACCUCUCUGCCCCUGCAGUAGCAGUAAACAACUACCGUGGAAUGUAAGGGAUGUCAAGUGA
rnacentral:rRNA from 1 species